UACAGAGGGGGCAAGCGUUAUUCGGAAUUAUUGGGCGUAAAGGCGCGUAGGCGGCCUGGCAAGUGGAAGGUGAAAUCCCUCGGCUUAACCGAGGAACUGCCCUCCAAACUGCUUGGCUUGAGUCCGGGAGAGGUGAGUGGAAUUCCCAGUGUAGCGGUGAAAUGCGUAGAUAUUGGGAGGAACACCAGUGGCGAAAGGCGGCUCACUGGACCGGAACUGACGCUGAGGCGCGAAAGCGUGGGGAGCAAACGGG
rnacentral:rRNA from 1 species